rnacentral:rRNA from 1 species
UACGAAGGGUGCAAGCGUUACUCGGAAUUACUGGGCGUAAAGCGUGCGUAGGUGGUUCGUUAAGUCUGAUGUGAAAGCCCUGGGCUCAACCUGGAGACGCCACCCGAUACUGCGAUGACUAGAGUCCGGUAGGGGAGUGUGGAAUUCCUGGUGUAGCGGUGAAAUGCGCAGAUAUCAGGAGGAACACCAACGGCGAAGGCAGCACUCUGGGCCGGAACUGACGCUGAGGAGCGAAAGCGUGGGUAGCGAACAGG